rnacentral:rRNA from 1 species
UACGUAGGGUGCGAGCGUUGUCCGGAAUUAUUGGGCGUAAAGGGCUCGUAGGCGGUUUGUCACGUCGGGAGUGAAAACUCGGGGCUCAACCCCGAGCCUGCUUCCGAUACGGGCAGACUAGAGGUAUGCAGGGGAGAAUGGAAUUCCUGGUGUAGCGGUGAAAUGCGCAGAUAUCAGGAGGAACACCGGUGGCGAAGGCGGGUCUCUGGGCCGUUACUGACGCUGAGGAGCGAAAGCGUGGGGAGCGAACAGG